UUUUAUUGGUGGAAGAGAGAACCCAGAUACAAUGUACCUGGGAAGAGACCACCGACCUUCCGAGAGUAAACUGGGAAACUUUCUCAAUUACCGGUGCGAGCAGGAUUCAAACCCGUGCCAACCAGAGGUUGAAAUUGGCCCAGUGGUUCUUGAGAAGAAGUCAGAAAUGUGAAAGUUUACAGACAGACGGACAACAGGGAAAAAGAAUGUUCAACUUCAGUGUUACAUGAAAAUGUACUUCAAAAUCACUCAACAACAAUUAUAAUAUUGCUGUAUGGAAAUUUUCUGUCCAAAGAAAACAAUGUAAAAAAAAUGAUGUAAUCUACACUCUACAGCAACAUGUGAGAAUAAUGAACGUGAAAUAUAUAUUCUGAAAAAAAAAACAA